AAAUGGGGUGGGUUUAUUAUAUAAUGGUCUAAGUUCAAGACCCCCCCCCCCACCUCUCGUCUCUUUCAUUACCCACCUUCUUCAGAGAACAUUUACAACCCUAGAUGCUGCCCAAAAUUCCCACCACCACUGGUGGCGGCGCCUAUCCUAAACACCACCGGAUUAACACCCUAAAGCCCCCUGCCUCCUCUCAUUCCAUGUAUCCAAUUCAUUUCCCUCGAAUCUUAACAGAACUCCUCGAAUCUUGAAUCACAAGUUGAAUCCUAAAUUCCAGAUUUUCCCAAUUGAAGUCUUUGUUGAAGUUUUAAGUUCACUCUGAGGUUAUUUAUGCAUUUUUGAUGAAAAAACACAUGCUUAAUCUCAGAUUGAGCUAAGAUUUGAAAGUUUCGAUUCAUCGCUAUCUUCUGUUCGAUGCUCCCCUUUAAGUAUUUUUCUUCGUGUUUUCUUUUUCAGUUUCUUUUCUCUCCCACUGUUAUCUCCUGCUAUUUUCUUUUUUUCGAAAUCGUCUUUGUAUGUUUUUCUCGGUUCAGUAUGUGAAUUGAUUGUUGUUUUCCCUCUUAGUUUAUUUGGAUUCGUCGUCUAGUUUUGUCUAAUUUGCUAUUUCUUUAAGUUUUGGGCUAUAUUGUGACCAUUUGGUCCAAAGGCUUCAAGGUCCACUGGCCCCUUUGCCCGCCUAGUUGAUUGCUCAUUUGAUUGUUUGAAUUGGGUUUUUUGGGGCCAAAGGGAGGGGGAAAUUAGCCCAAGUUUCAAAGGGAUUCACUGGGUCAGCUUGACCCGUGUAUUAUUUUUGAAGGUAAUUUUCAGGGUCUUAGAGGAAAAUUGGGGAAUUUGGUAUGGGGAAUCUUGUUGUAACUACUUGGGAAGAUUCCUAGAAGCUGGGUUAGGGACUUAAGGGGGAAAUCUGAUUUCAACCUUAAUAAAUUCACAAAGAGGCAAAAUGCAAAAACUAAAACCUGAAAGCUGCCCAUUUCCUUGCCUAUAAAGGCAUGCUUUCUUGCAUUUGAAGGAGAGGUGGAAGGGAUAAAAAUUUCAGAAAAUUAAAAACGAUUGCAAUGAUGCUCCUUUAUUUAGUUAACAUCACCAAAAUGAUGAUAUUCCACAUUUGAGUUGAAAUAGACUGAUUCUGGUCAGCUUUCUGAAAAUUCUGGGUUUAGUUUUGCUGGGGAAACACUAUUUCAUUGCUGAUCUGGGGCUGUGUUUUACUGUUUCAUUUGGCUGGCCAUUACUGUUGCUCCCACUUUGCUCCAGGCUAAAUUUUGGUUUAUUUUGCUUCUAUUCAGGUACAUGCUUUGAACUUCAGUUGAUGUAAAGCUGGAUUGGAAAAAAUGAAAUGGAAAACAAGAUUUGAAGUGUGGAAGAAAAUUUGCUUGUGAUUCAAUAUCACUUCCUCAUUUUUGUGUCCUUCAUAAUGUGAAUCAUAAUAUGUUAAUUGAUUUGGAAUUUGAAAUAGUUAUCUUUCAUGUUUGUAUUUGGUUUGGAAUCUCUUAAAUGCUGUAAUAGUAGAGUUGGGUUGAAUUACUGUGUACUGGUUGUGCUUCCCUUUUGGUUGCAACAAUGGUAAUCUAGAUUGAUUGAAAUGGCUAGUAUAGGGUAGGGACAUAUUGAUGACAUACCAUAUGCAAUUUGAAGGACAUCAAGAAAUUAGCUUGUUGUGGAUAUUCUAUUAAUAAACUUGUGC
rnacentral:lncRNA from 1 species